AGUCGAACGAUGAUGCCCAGCUUGCUGGGUGGAUUAGUGGCGAACGGGUGAGUAAUACGUGAGUAACCUGCCCUUGACUCUGGGAUAAGCCUGGGAAACUGGGUCUAAUACUGGAUACUACCUCUUACCGCAUGGUGGGUGGUGGAAAGGGUUUUACUGGUUUUGGAUGGGCUCACGGCCUAUCAGCUUGUUGGUGGGGUAAUGGCUCACCAAGGCGACGACGGGUAGCCGGCCUGAGAGGGUGACCGGCCACACUGGGACUGAGACACGGCCCAGACUCCUACGGGAGGCAGCAGUGGGGAAUAUUGCACAAUGGGCGGAAGCCUGAUGCAGCGACGCCGCGUGAGGGAUGACGGCCUUCGGGUUGUAAACCUCUUUCAGUAGGGAAGAAGCGAGAGUGACGGUACCUGCAGAAGAAGCGCCGGCUAACUACGUGCCAGCAGCCGCGGUAAUACGUAGGGCGCAAGCGUUGUCCGGAAUUAUUGGGCGUAAAGAGCUCGUAGGCGGUUUGUCGCGUCUGCUGUGAAAGCCCGGGGCUCAACCCCGGGUCUGCAGUGGGUACGGGCAGACUAGAGUGCAGUAGGGGAGACUGGAAUUCCUGGUGUAGCGGUGAAAUGCGCAGAUAUCAGGAGGAACACCGAUGGCGAAGGCAGGUCUCUGGGCUGUUACUGACGCUGAGGAGCGAAAGCAUGGGGAGCGAACAGGAUUAGAUACCCUGGUAGUCCAUGCCGUAAACGUUGGGCACUAGGUGUGGGGGACAUUCCACGUUUUCCGCGCCGUAGCUAACGCAUUAAGUGCCCCGCCUGGGGAGUACGGCCGCAAGGCUAAAACUCAAAGGAAUUGACGGGGGCCCGCACAAGCGGCGGAGCAUGCGGAUUAAUUCGAUGCAACGCGAAGAACCUUACCAAGGCUUGACAUUCACCGGACCGCCCCAGAGAUGGGGUUUCCCUUCGGGGCUGGUGGACAGGUGGUGCAUGGUUGUCGUCAGCUCGUGUCGUGAGAUGUUGGGUUAAGUCCCGCAACGAGCGCAACCCUCGUUCUAUGUUGCCAGCACGUGAUGGUGGGGACUCAUAGGAGACUGCCGGGGUCAACUCGGAGGAAGGUGGGGAUGACGUCAAAUCAUCAUGCCCCUUAUGUCUUGGGCUUCACGCAUGCUACAAUGGCCGGUACAAAGGGUUGCGAUACUGUGAGGUGGAGCUAAUCCCAAAAAGCCGGUCUCAGUUCGGAUUGAGGUCUGCAACUCGACCUCAUGAAGUCGGAGUCGCUAGUAAUCGCAGAUCAGCAACGCUGCGGUGAAUACGUUCCCGGGCCUUGUACACACCGCCCGUCAAGUCACGAAAGUUGGUAACACCCGAAGCCGGUGGCCUAACCCCUUGUGGGAGGGAGCCG
rnacentral:rRNA from 1 species